rnacentral:lncRNA from 1 species
CAAGGGAGUCGUAUCAUCCCAUCGGAACCUGAUCUCCAUGGUACAAACAAUCUUAGGGCGAUUCUUUUUAGAAGACGGAGAGCACAUAUUCUUAUGUACGGUGCCGAUGUUCCACAUAUACGGUCUGGUGGCGUUUGCAAUGGGCAUACUGGCAUCAGGAUCAACGGUGGUGGUUCUGUCUAAGUUCGAGAUGCACGAGAUGUUAUCGUCGAUUGAAAAGUACCGGGCGACGUACCUGCCACUUGUGCCGCCGAUACUGGUAGCAAUGAUGAAUGGGAGGAAUCAGAUAAAGGGCAAAUACGAUCUUAGUUCGCU